rnacentral:rRNA from 1 species
GCUAGCUACAGGCUUAACACAUGCAAGUCGAGGGGCAGCAUUUUAGUUUGCUUGCAAACUGAAGAUGGCGACCGGCGUACGGGUGAGUAACACGUAUCCAACCUACCGAUAACUCCGGAAUAGCCUUUCGAAAGAAAGAUUAAUACCGGAUAGCAUACGAAUAUCGCAUGAUAUUUUUAUUAAAGAAUUUCGGUUAUCGAUGGGGAUGCGUUCCAUUAGUUUGUUGGCGGGGUAACGGCCCACCAAGACUACGAUGGAUAGGGGUUCUGAGAGGAAGGUCCCCCACAUUGGAACUGAGACACGGUCCAAACUCCUACGGGAGGCAGCAGUGAGGAAUAUUGGUCAAUGGGCGAGAGCCUGAACCAGCCAAGUAGCGUGAAGGAUGAAGGCUCUAUGGGUCGUAAACUUCUUUUAUAUGGGAAUAAAGUUUUCCACGUGUGGAAUUUUGUAUGUACCAUAUGAAUAAGGAUCGGCUAACUCCGUGCCAGCAGCCGCGGUAAUACGGAGGAUCCGAGCGUUAUCCGGAUUUAUUGGGUUUAAAGGGAGCGUAGGUGGAUUGUUAAGUCAGUUGUGAAAGUUUGCGGCUCAACCGUAAAAUUGCAGUUGAAACUGGCAGUCUUGAGUACAGUAGAGGUGGGCGGAAUUCGUGGUGUAGCGGUGAAAUGCUUAGAUAUCACGAAGAACUCCGAUUGCGAAGGCAGCUCACUAGACUGUCACUGACACUGAUGCUCGAAAGUGUGGGUAUCAAACAGGAUUAGAUACCCUGGUAGUCCACACAGUAAACGAUGAAUACUCGCUGUUUGCGAUAUACAGUAAGCGGCCAAGCGAAAGCAUUAAGUAUUCCACCUGGGGAGUACGCCGGCAACGGUGAAACUCAAAGGAAUUGACGGGGGCCCGCACAAGCGGAGGAACAUGUGGUUUAAUUCGAUGAUACGCGAGGAACCUUACCCGGGCUUAAAUUGCAACAGAAUAUAUUGGAAACAGUAUAGCCGUAAGGCUGUUGUGAAGGUGCUGCAUGGUUGUCGUCAGCUCGUGCCGUGAGGUGUCGGCUUAAGUGCCAUAACGAGCGCAACCCUUAUCUUUAGUUACUAACAGGUUAUGCUGAGGACUCUAGAGAGACUGCCGUCGUAAGAUGUGAGGAAGGUGGGGAUGACGUCAAAUCAGCACGGCCCUUACGUCCGGGGCUACACACGUGUUACAAUGGGGGGUACAGAAGGCGGCUACCUGGUGACAGGAUGCUAAUCCCAAAAACCUCUCUCAGUUCGGAUCGAAGUCUGCAACCCGACUUCGUGAAGCUGGAUUCGCUAGUAAUCGCGCAUCAGCCAUGGCGCGGUGAAUACGUUCCCGGGCCUUGUACACACCGCCCGUCAAGCCAUGAAAGCCGGGGGUACCUGAAGUACGUAACCGCAAGGAGCGUCCUAGGGUAAAACUGGUAAUUGGGG